CGGCAGGUAAUGAUAGAAUUGGGGGCAGGUAAUCAGUUAUUCAGUAAGUAUGUUAUUAAAUAAGUGGUCAUUAUGCUGUAAAAAAAGUUCUAUAUAGAUGCUAAUAAUUGUUCAUUGUCUGCAACUUUGUAAAACGAGAGAAAUAAAUAACUAUAAAUGAUAAUUUAUUCAUUAAUUAUUAAUUAGCAAUUGCAGAGCCAUGAUGGAAUUCUGAUUUCUUCUCUAUCACCCUCUUCCAUUUUUUUACCGGGAUGCCGAGCUCUGCCC
rnacentral:lncRNA from 1 species